UACGUAGGUGGCAAGCGUUGUCCGGAUUUACUGGGCGUAAAGAGCGCGCAGGCGGUCGUUCAAGUCGCGUGUGAAAGCCCCCGGCUCAACUGGGGAGGGUCACGCGAUACUGAUCGACUGGAAGGCAGGAGAGGGUAGUGGAAUUCCCGGUGUAGUGGUGAAAUGCGUAGAUAUCGGGAGGAACACCAGUGGCGAAGGCGACUACCUGGCCUGUUCUUGACGCUGAGGCGCGAAAGCUAGGGAGCAAACGGG
rnacentral:rRNA from 1 species